GAAAAUACAAUCUUAACAUGAUAUUGUUGCUUAAUAGUUGAUGGAAAGCCAGUAACACAAGCUCCCCCGAACAAAGAAUCUGAUUCCAAAACACUGAUCAUCCUGUUGGGAGUUGGCGUGUUCCUCGUUGUCCUUGUGAUUAUUMUUCUCAUCUUUCUGAUCGUCAAACUACGCAAAAACCAUUAAGGAUGAUCGUCACUGAUUGACAGAACGAAUCAAGGCACCCUGCACAUUAACAAUGGGAUACCUGUGUCAAUUCAAAAAUCGUCGACCAACUAAAGCCCUUUCRGUCCAACCGCGUAGGCUUGAGCCGGUCGAGGACAACGUUUUUUUAAAUUGACUGUAUGUAAGUCUCAAAGCAAUAACAGCACACAGCACGAUGCACCUUUCGCUUUAAAAUACCAUACGCUUGCACGGAAAUCAUAACAUUGCAAUGAGUUUGCAAUCAUUUCCGUGCCCAUAAYAUGACAAAAGAGAUGGCGGCCAUGUUGGAUAAUAUUUCAAAACGAGCAUCUUAUAAGACAGGAAUGAUGGAACACUUUACCCAUAGGAGGAAAUUCAUUUUUCAAAUGAAAGGAUUCUAAAGUUUUUGCCCUUCAACUUUGCUCGUUCUUUCGUGUCUUAUUUUAACCCCACAGACAAUAUUUAGAUAUUUUUAGUCUCAAAASCCAUUUAUACAAUUAAAGGCAGAACACAGGCGACACAGGCACCUUGCACUGCACAUACUAUUUUAGGUCACCGUUGGGUCGGUCAAGCCUGGGCUAAGUAAGGUGAACCGUUGAGCCGUACCGUGGCCCGUCAACUGCUACUAUGGAUUUCAUUGAAGUGUGGCACGCAUUAAAAAAUUCGUCUGCGAAUUUGCCUACGAGACGCUGUGACUCUGCUGUGAUUUUGUCUGCAUUCCUUUCUCGUGAAAUGCACAAUGAACAUCAGCGCACUUGGUCGUGUUUACAGUAGGGGAAGAGCAUAAGUAGAGAUUUGAGUUCUCUCGUUGUAGAUGAGAUUGUUGAAAGUGGUGGGGACAUCAUAACAUGAUUCGUUCCUGGAAAAUUCGCAGAAAUUGGUCGAAAACUUCCCCCGCCUCCAUACUCAACUUUGAACUCGUACCUUCUACUCGCCGCCAUAAUUUCGAAUUGAACGUUGCACGGGAAUAGCCGAGAAAGGAAUGCAGACAAAAUCACACCUCCGAGUGGGGGGAGUCACAGCGUCUCGUAGGCAAAUUCGCAGACGAAUUUUUUAAUGCGUGCCACACUUCAAUGAAAUCCGUAGUAUUAGCUAUUCCGAGGUCGAGGGAAAAAAUGGGUCGAGUUGGCAUUACAGAGCAUUGUGGGACUGAAAAUCAUGAUGACGUCUGUUUUGUCCCCUAAAACGAUCCCAAGUCUUACCCAACCCCGGAAUGGCUAACUGCAAUAUCAUCAUAUUCAAAAUAUUACGUAUCGUAAACGCAAUUUGUCAUUCAAAUAAUACAUUAAGAAACGAUUCAGCUUUAAUAAAGCAAUAAAAAACGUUAUGUUAUAACGACUGAAUGAA